ACUUGAAUAUUAGUAGUUAUGAGCUUUAAAUUCAAAGAAUUUGGCGGUAUUUUAGUCUUGUUAGAGGAACCUGUUCUGUAAAUGAUACUACACGAAGGAUCUUACUUGCUUUUGUUUUUCAGUUUGUAUACCGUCCAUUAUUAGAUAACCUUUAUUGGGGGAGUUAUUGUAAUGUGUAAAGUCAGAUAUAUUAGAUCAAGGUGCAGCUUAUAGGUAAGAAGAAAUGGGUUACAAUAAAAUUUAUUUAUACGUAUUAGUGAUUGAAUAAUUAUUAUGAAGGAGGAUUUAAUUGUAAUGUAAAUUUAAUAAGUUAACGUGAUAUGAGAACUAAAAUAUGUACAUAUCGCCCGUCGC
rnacentral:rRNA from 1 species